ACAAUGUCGCCGCUACAAGCAACCGUCGAAUGAAGACGAAUUCGAAUUUUCCGAUUUUCCCCCGACCAGUAUAAAUACACGGAAGCGAUCGCGAGCAAUAGCACAUAUCGAGUAUCUAACAGUAUCUAGAGUAUCUCCGAGUAUCUUACGAGCGUCUAUCGAGUUACGCGACGAGCAUUUACAAAUAUAUUCGACGGUUACAACAACGAGUAAUCUCGUCAUUAAUCUUUACGUACCAACGUCCUCUUCACAUAAACAUCUACAGAUAUAACACUAUGGCGGAUCUUUCCAACGGCUUCGCGAUACAAAGCGCUAUACCUUGAAAGCGUAAGCCCGACAUGCCCAAUGUACAAUCGAUAUCCCUACGGUUCUUUUGCCGAAUUUUCGGAAGAACGCAUAUGCGGCAACCGUAGCGGACAUCUAAUAAACGCGUACGUAGUGGGGAUAUCGAUGGGCAACAAAGAAAGAGUCCGUUUGGUUUCGAACCAAAGAUUCAUUUUGUCUCGAGCUGCGGAGUGCGAAAGGUUAAGCGUCAUAGCAAACAAAUACAAUUAGAGAUACGUGAUUAUUGACCUUCAUAGUUAAUCGUUAAUCGUUAAUUGUCGGCCGUAAAUCGUUGACUGUUAAUUGUUAAUAGUUUAAUAAACUUUAUUGUUGAACAUCAA